rnacentral:rRNA from 1 species
UAGGGAAUCUUCCGCAAUGGACGAAAGUCUGACGGAGCAACGCCGCGUGAGUGAAGAAGGAUUUCGGUUCGUAAAACUCUGUUGUUAGGGAAGAAAAAAUGUAUAGUAACUAUAUACAAAAGAGACGGUACCUAACCAGAAAGCCACGGCUAACUACGUGCCAGCAGCCGCGGUAAUACGUAGGUGGCAAGCGUUGUCCGGAAUUAUUGGGCGUAAAGCGCGCGCAGGUGGUUUAGAAAGUCUGAUGAGAAAGCCCACGGCUCAACCGUGGAGGGUCAUUGGAAACUAAUAAACUUGAGUGCAGGAGAGAAAAGUGGAAUUCCUAGUGUAGCGGUGAAAUGCGUAGAGAUUAGGAGGAACACCGGUGGCGAAAGCGGCUUUUUGGCCUGCAACUGACACUGAGGCGCGAAAGCGUGGGGAGCAAACAGG